GCAAAGUAACAGUAGAAGUAGUGGUAGUAGAGGCUGCACUACACUGUGGGAGCCAUACCUUGUAAAUGCUUUCUUUGACUGAUUGUCUAUAAAAGAAAAGAGCAGCUGCAGCUCACUGAUUAAGCAGCUCCACUUCGUGUGCUCUUCCUGAGUCCUUCUUCCUCUCAUUUUCUUCCUCCACCUGCAACCAAGAGGGUGUUGUGUGUGUGAGGGAGUGCCAACACCUACAUGAGCUUCUACAUUCCAGCACUGGGAUCGGUUGCUGCAGUUGAGGGGCCAGGAACUGUUGCUUCAAUUGCAUGAAGUAAAAAAAAAAAUCAGAGCUGCGGAGGCAACUGGGCAACAGGGCAAGUCCUUCACAAUUAAGAAUAAAGUGUGGCUACAUGCUGGGUGAAAAUGGGAAUUCAUGUCGAGUGAGAAGGGUGCAAGAAAUUCCCGUACCGUCAGGAGCCAUCUUCCUAUUUAUGAUAUUGUUUAUGACCAUUUCCGGUUUUAAGAAAAACAUAGAACUUGUCAUUUUCAAUUGUUUGGCAAUCAAAUUGUAACUUCCAUUUAAUAGUUCUAGUUGUAAUUUGAAGAGUCUUGAAUUUGUAUCUCUACGCUUGUUUGGUUUUAGUGGAUCUUGAAUGUAAUUUGAA